rnacentral:rRNA from 1 species
UGAGGAAUAUUGGGCAAUGCCCGCAAGGGUGACCCAGCAACGCCGCGUGGAGGAUGAAUGUCGUAAGAUUGUAAACUCCUGCUAGAGGGGAAGAAUAGUACCGGUUGGACCGGUAUAUGACUGUACCCUCAGAGAAAGCCCCGGCUAACUACGUGCCAGCAGCCGCGGUAAUACGUGGGGGGCAAGCGUUGUCCGGAUUUACUGGGUGUAAAGGGCGCGCAGGCGGAAUGGAAAGUCAGUGGUGAAAUCCUACAGCUUAACUGUAGAACUGCAUUUGAUACUUUCAUUCUUGAGUUCGGGAGAGAGAGACGGAAUUCCAGGUGUAGUGGUGAAAUACGUAGAUAUCUGGAAGAACACCAGUUGCGAAGGCGGUCUCUUGGUCCGAUACUGACGCUGAGGCGCGAAAGCGUGGGGAGCAAA